UCUAGGUGGUCCGAGGGUGGACAAACAGUCAGUGGGGUGCCGACCUUAUGCUCUCUAUCAGGGAAUGACUGCACUGCAAACACAGCCAUUGUAUUUACUAGUAAACUACUAAACCCAGCGAACCCGCGCGCCUUAAUACAGAAGCAGUUCAUCCCCAAAUGGUUCUUUGUGUGGUGGAACGGUUCUUCAGACUCGAAGAAGAAGCUGCUAGGUGUUCAAAAUGACUGACUUAUUCAGGAAGGCAGCGACAGGUCAGCGUGUAAGAACUGCUUCGUUACUUCAGGUGGAGAUGAGACACCUUCAAGUUCAGGGAGAGCUCCAGAGAAAAGAAGAGGGGAUGAGGAUCUGGAAGCAAGGAUGUCAACUUAAGAGCUACUACCACACCAGAUUUGAACCACUUACCUCACACAGCUAAAGCCAUGUCAUUCCCACUAAGCCAUCAAGUUUCACACACAGCAGCCCUUUUUUUGGGGGCUUUAAGAUUCCAGGACACAGAGAAAAUCUCACUUGCACUCCUACACAGGCAUCUGGAGAAGGUCAGUGGUGGCAUAGAUGAAGACCAGAACAUAAUUUAAGAAAAGAAUGGUUGCAGUCUGGUGAACUGCUGUGAUCCUGAUGGUUUAACAGGUGACCGAUGACUGAUUCUAAAUGCAUUUGAUUGUAUCUAAUGUGAUCUAAAGGUGUGCUCUCUACUGGAAACCAUAAGAAAGUAAAACCAUAAGGUUUUAAUUCAGCAGGGGCUGUUUGAUUGAUCCGUUUGUGUUGGGACUUUGGAAGGGUUUUGAAUUUCAUGUUCAGGUUCCUUACGGCCCAUUUGAAAUGAAUUUGUAUUCCAGUAUCUUCACUGUAAAUGUUAGUAAUUUGACCUCUACACAGCAUUUUAGUUAGUCUAUAUAAAUUCAUCUGUGACGGGUCACUGUUUGUUUACUUAGACCUAUUUACUUAGUAAAAAAGUUAUGGCCUACAAUGCUUGUGUGAUGUACUAAGGAAUGUAACUAACCUGUUACAGUAAUUCCUUGUCUCCUAAAAAAUACAUACAGACCAUGGCAAACCCCUUUAGAUAGUGGUGGCUCAUGUGACUUCUCAUCAUAGAUGUGGUGAUGGUGUUACAGCUACCACGAAAUAUGGUGAAUGCCGGAGACAUAAGGAGGUUCACAAACUGGACAAAGGUUUUAUCCAUUUGCAGUUCUCCAGCAAUGAACACUAAAUUAAGUUAAAUGGCCUUAAUAUAAUUCCGCGCAUUUGUAUUAAUAUUUAUAUCAGCACAAUUUUGUUUUUUACCUUGCAUACUUUUGGCAAUUAAUGUACUGAUUGAACUGAACUGAAUUUAAUUGAUUGAGUUUAUUAGUGUGUACUACAAAAUCAACACAGUGUCAGUAGUAAAAACGUCCACUUGAGUACAGUUUCAAUCCUUCAUCUACAGCUUCUACAUGUUAAUGCACCACCAUUAGUGCACUGUAACAUGAAUGGACUGCUGGUUACUUUCACUUGUUUAUGUAAUGACUGAUUGCUGUUGGGCAAGUCUGAGCUCAUUUAUGUGACCGGGGCGCCACCGUGUGGAUGCACAAAACCAUUGCAAGUCCUGGAAUAUGAUCAGAAAUAUGCAAAUAUAUUGACAUAAGACAAAAAAUAAGUUAUAAACCCUUUAUAAAAAAUUCAGUUUAGGUGAAGCACAGACACAUUUGUAGUUUGACACUUCUGU